rnacentral:rRNA from 1 species
CCCGGCGGACGGCUCAGUAACACGUGGAUAACUUGCCCUUGGGUCUGGGAUAACCCCUGGGAAACUGGGGCUAAUACCGGAUAGAGCAUCGAUCGCUGGAAUGCCUGAUGCUCGAAAACUAGGUGCCCAAGGAUAGGUCUGCGGCUGAUUAGGUUGUUGUUGAUGUAAUGGACCAACAAGCCUACGAUCGGUACGGGUUGUGAGAGCAAUAGCCCGGAGAUGGGUUCUGAGAAAAGAACCCAGGUCCUACGGGACGCAUCAGGCGCGAAAACUUUACACUGUGCGAAAGCACGAUAAGGGAACUCUGAGUGCCUCCUAAGGAGGCUGUUCUAGUGUCUAAAAAGCAAUAGAAGUAAGGGCUGGGCAAGACCGGUGCCAGCCGCCGCGGUAACACCGGCAGCCCAAGUGGUAGCCACGUUUAUUGGGUCUAAAGCGUUCGUAGCCGGCUUGGUAAGUUCCUUGGUAAAUUUAGCCGCUUAACGGUUAAGCUUUCAGGGAAUACUGCUUGGCUUGGGACUGGGAGAGGUCAGAGGUACUCCAGGGGUAGGGGUGAAAUCCAUUAAUCCUUGGGGGACCACCGGUAGCGAAGGCGUCUGACCAGACCAGCUCCGACGGUGAGGGACGAAGGCUAGGGGCGCGAACCGGGUUAGAUACCCGGGUAGUCCUAGCUGUAAACGAUGCGGGCUAGGUGUUGGCAUUACUG